rnacentral:snRNA from 1 species
AUUUUUGUCGCGGGUUAAUACAAAAAAAAAAAAGAUCAAGUGUAGUAUCUGUUCUUCUCAGUUUAAUACCUGGGACGGAAACGAUUCGUUUCCUCUAUGUAUUAAUCGGAUUUUUGAACUUGGAGUAUGGUGCUGGAGCUUGCUCCACCCUGCUCACGGGUUGUCCUGGUAUUGCAGUACCUCCAGGUUCGGCUCACGUUUC